UACGUAGGGCGCAAGCGUUGUCCGGAUUUAUUGGGCGUAAAGAGCUCGUAGGCGGCUUGUCGCGUCUGCCGUGCAAUCCUUCGGCUUAACUGGGGGCUUGCGGUGGAUACGGGUGAGCUGGAGGCAGGUAGGGGAGAAUGGAAUUCCCGGUGUAGCGGUGAAAUGCGCAGAUAUCGGGAGGAACACCGGUGGCGAAGGCGGCUCUCUGGGUCGGACCUGACGCUGAGGCGCGAAAGCGUGGGGAGCGAACGGG
rnacentral:rRNA from 1 species